UACGGGGGGAGCAAGCGUUGUUCGGAUUUACUGGGCGUAAAGGGCGGGUAGGCGGCCACCGCAAGUCAGUUGUGAAAUCUCCGGGCUUAACCCGGAAAGGUCAACUGAUACUGCGGGGCUAGAGUGCAGAAGGGGCAACUGGAAUUCUCGGUGUAGCGGUGAAAUGCGUAGAUAUCGAGAGGAACACCUGCGGCGAAGGCGGGUAGCUGGGCCGACACUGACGCUGAUGCGCGAAAGCCAGGGGAGCGAACGGG
rnacentral:rRNA from 1 species